UUUGCAAAGAUAAUCCAGUUCCUGUAUACCCUUUAAUCAUUUUGCCCUAAUGCUAACAUGUCAUCAAAGGUCACUGUCAAAACGAAGAAGUCAACACUGGCACGUUACCAUUAACUCCAGACUUCAUUUGGAUCUCACCAGAUUUUCCACUAAUGUUCUUUAUCUAUUCCAGGAUCCAAUACAGGAUUCCACAUUGCAUUUAGAGAAGCUUCGUUUUUCAUAGGCACUUUCAGCUGAUGAGAGAGCAUGAGCAUGGGGCAGAGAGAGGGGGAGACACAGAAUCCGAAGCAGGCUCCAGGCUCUGAGCUGUCAGCACAGAGCCCCACGCGGGGCUCGAACUCAAACCGUGAGAUCAUGACCUAAGACGAAUUUGGAGGCUUAACCGACUGAGCCACCCAGGUGCCGGGUCUUACUUUUAAAGACACCUUAUGGAGAUUUGGCAUAUUUCUCACUGAAAUGUUAAGUUUGAAGAUAGCAUAUUAAAGUCAAAAUAUGUGGGUGGUUUUUCUUUUUAUAGCAAUGUUCCUGUGCUUCCAUUUUCCUUUCUGUUUUGUUUUUUUAAGUUUUUAUUUGAGAGAAACACGUGAGUGGGGGAGGGACAGAGAGAAAGGGAGAGAGAGAAUCCCAAGAUUCUGCUGAUAAUACAGAGCCUGACAGGGGGCUCAAUCUCAUGAACUGUGAGAUCGUGACCUGAGCUGAAACCACGAGUAGGACACUUGACCAACUGAGGCACCCAGGCUCCCCUUUCCAACCAGCCUCCAGGUUUUCAAAACUGCUGGAGAUCCUCAUAUAGCUCACAUUCUGAUUCUACAGUAUUCCUGUAAUUCCUUUCUCUCUGGUAUAUUCUACCGAAUCUCUCAGUGUGCUUUCUUCCCUCUUGGCACAAUGAUGAACCGUUGAAAGAUGCCAUCUACUGCGCUGUGCCUCCGAGCACAAUGGCCAGCGGUUUUAAAUGUACCAAACUACCUGCAGGUCCAAAAGAGCAGAAGCCAAAGAAAUACGUGACUACAUUGGAACCAGAGGCAAGGAUCAAACCCAUCACGAAUGGUCAGUCUGAAAAUGCUUUAAGACCCUACUCUUAGAGCUGACUGAAAGCAUUUCAGUUAGAAUACUAGGUGAACUGAAUGUUACACACUAGCCAUAUUUUAAUUAAAAUAGAGUUUAUUAGCUUUUCUUUUAAUAUAAACAUGAGGAAGAAAAACCACAUACAUUGUAGCAUUCUUUUCAAAAUAAGACUGUAAUCAAUACUUGAAUCUCCAAGCUCCGAACUCCACAAAACAUUUUUUUGAGGUGGUAGAUUGUAAUAUUUUAUAUACUGUUAUUUAUCAUUUAUGUCUCUGUCCUUUAAAAAUGAUGGAACCUCAAUAGAAUAUGAAGCCUUGCUAUACUGAGAGAAAGUAUUCCUGGCCCAGAAAUGCUGUGUUUACAGGCAAAAUUCCUAGGAUUACAUUUGAGAAGGUAGGAGAAAGAUCUCACGUGGUUAAGAACACGAAUCUUUUUUUUCUUUUUUUUUUUUUUUUUAACAUUUCAAGUUUAGGUGACAUCAUUACCAAUGUCCUAGAAGAUUGAUUUCUUAACUCCCUGCCCUUUAAAGCCUGAGGUGAGGGUUCCUCUUAAAUAGCAGGACUUGAAACGAGACAUCUCCAGCCAGGUUAACACGUAGGAUAGAAAAGCGGUUUCCUAUCCCCUACUUUCAUAUCACUACUAUUAGAGUCCAAUUCAUUUCAGUUUAUUACAUGUGAAUUACCAUUGCUCUUCAUAAUCCUUACCAAAUCUAGAAAAAAGAAACUCAGGUGAUCAAAGCAGGUAAACGGCACAGCCCUGCAAAGGACUACUUUCAAAGGGGAGGGCAUGUCUAUGAAGGUACAAGGUAUCUUUAAAGUCUUAGUGCAACUUUAAGCUUUGAUACCUGUGGAAGUAUAAAUGCUACAAACUUACAAAACACCAUUUAAAAGUUUAGGUAUUUCUUGUAAACUUAACUAGUUUUGUAAAUUCUAAAUAUUAAACUUCUAAUUUUAAUUUUUUGCUUCAGCCAAUGUUUGCCAUCUUCAAGAGGGGCUGAAACAAAAAAUUAAAAUUAAAAGCUUAAUAUUUAAAAUUUACAAAACUAGAGAAGUUUACUAGAAAUGUAAUUAAACUUUCAAGUGAUAUUUUGUAAGUCUGUGGCAUUUAUACUUCAGCAGGGCCCUGGAGGGCCCAAGCACACCAUAUUUAAGCUGAAAGUUGCAAUAAGAUUUUCAGGACACCUUCUAUUUCACUACCUGCUUGUUACCACUGGACCACCAUGUUGGUUGGAAUUAUGAAAAUAUAUUUUAAUACACGCAUUUAACAAAGAGGAAAAUCGUCAGAAAAUGAGAAGCACCAUUAUAGUUCACAAGAAAUGCAGCAUGGACCCAAUAGAAGUAGAUAAUCGAUAAUGUACUUUCUCUUGUUUAUGAUCCCAAACAUACUAAUAACGCUAAUAAGUAGUGCUUGCAAAGAAUUUGAACAACAAGCGUUAUUCGGCAGCUUUUUGGUUUAAACUGAUUGCCAAUAACGACCAGCAGCUUCAAUGGUAAAGUAGGGAGGAAGAACCCUUCGAUACCUCACAACGCUACAGUCUGUUCCUAAGUGGCUUUAUGAGUUGUUAGGAGUCCCAUGUUUUAAUGGUAAUACUGCAUUGAUUCUAAAGAAAUAUGCAGCAAAAUGAGGGAGGGGCAAGAAAAAUAGAAAAACAUAAAAGUUAUAUAUAGUUAGUGUCUUGUCUAAAAAUUUUAAAACCUCACUUAGCUCACAGCUAUAAGCCUACAUAGUAAGCAAAUAUCUGUGUGUGGGUUGGAGCUUUUGCUUUGGAGUGGUUUUUGUAACUCUGUUUACAUUAAAAAGGACAAAGGAG